AUUGAACGCUGGCGGCAGGCCUAACACAUGCAAGUCGAGCGAGCGGCGGACGGGUGAGUAAUGUCUGGGAAACUGCCUGAUGGAGGGGGAUAACUACUGGAAACGGUAGCUAAUACCGCAUACCAUCGGAUGUGCCCAGAUGGGAUUAGCUAGUAGGUGGGGUAACGGCUCACCUAGGCGACGAUCCCUAGCUGGUCUGAGAGGAUGACCAGCCACCCGGGAGCUGAGACACGGUCCAGACUCCUACGGGAGGCAGCAGUGGGGAAUAUUGCACAAUGGGCGCAAGCCUGAUGCAGCCCUGCCGCGUGUGUGAAGAAGGCCUUCGGGUUGUAUAGCACUUUCAGCGAGGAGGCGUUACUCGCAGAAGAAGCACCGGCUAACUCCGUGCCAGCAGCCGCGGUAAUUC
rnacentral:rRNA from 1 species